AGUUUAUAACUUGUUCGGUUUAGAAGAGUAAAGUUGUUGAUAAGAAAAGUAAUUUAUAAUUGAGUUUUUAAGUAGUAUAUAGUGAAAAAGAGGUAUAGGACUAUAGGGGAGAAGUACUGUGAAGGAAAGUGUUGCUUAUAAGAUUGAAGAUAGUAAAUUUUAAAUUUUGUAUUUUGUGUAUCAAAGGAGGUCGAUAUAAGCUAAUAAUUAUUAGAUAUCCCGAAAUAAAUACAGCUAACUUUAUAAAGGAGUUUUUGUGGAAAACAGAUUUUUAAUAUAAAGUUAAAGAUGAAAUGUCAGUCGAGUUUUAUUAUAUCUGGUUUUUUGAAAAUAAAUUUAAUUUGAUUUUUAUAGGAAUGAAAUGUAAAAUUUAAAUGUAGGAGGGAUUAGCUUCUUAUAAAUAAGGGUAAUAAAAAGUUAUUGUAUAGAAAGUAUUAUUGAACUAGGCUUAAAAGUAGCUAUGUUAAUAAAGUGUUUUAACUGAAUUGUAUGAGUAGGAAUGUUUAUUAUAACUUUUAAUAAGUAUCAAGAAAUUAACUAGGAUAAAAAAAGUUGGAAUAUAAUGAUUUUAUUAGUAGGGUUAAUGUGGAAUCGGAAUAUUAAAAUAAUUAUGUGUUUUUAAUAAUUUUGAAUGAUAGCAUAAAGGAAUUCGGCAAAUAAUUUCUUUGCCUGUUUAUCAAAAACAUGUCUGUUUGUAGAUAUAAAGAGUUUGACCUGCCCACUGAUAGAAUUUAAGGGCCGCGGUAUUUUGACCGUGCAAAGGUAGCAUAAUCGUUAGUUUUUUAAUUGGAAUCUUGUAUGAAUGGUUGGACAAAAGAAAAUCUGUCUCUAUAGCUAUAAAGUGAAUUUAACUUUUAAGUGAAAAGGCUUAAAUGAAUUAAAGGGACGAUAAGACCCUAUAAAGCUUAAUAUGGAGGUAUUAUUUGGUUGAAUUUUCAUAAUAUAAAAAUUUAGUGAUUUAGAAGUAUUAUAUUGGGGCGAUAAAAGUAAAAUGAUUGUUAACUGCUUAUUUGUUUAAACAAAAAUGAGUGAUUAAAGUUGUAGAGGGUCCUAGUUAUGGAUUAAAAGAUUAAGUUACUUUAGGGAUAACAGCGUUAUUUUUUUUGAGAGUUCAUAUCGAGAAAAGAGUUUGCGACCUCGAUGUUGAAUUAAAAUAUCUGUACAAUUGCAGUAGUUGUAUGAGAAGGUCUGUUCGACCUUUAAAUUUUUACAUGAUUUGAGUUCAGACCGGCGUGAGCCAGGUCGGUUUCUAUCUUUUAAUGAGGAGGUGGCUAUUUUAGUACGAAAGGAUUAAAUAGCUGAAAUUAUUUUUUGGUUGAUUUACUAUUUUGGCAGAUAAUAUGCACUGGAUUUAGGAUCCUGUUAAAUAGAGUAAGUU
rnacentral:rRNA from 1 species